AUACGGAGGGUCCAAGCGUUAUCCGGAUUCAUUGGGUUUAAAGGGUGCGCAGGCGGAUAUUUAAGUCAGUGGUGAAAUCCCGGGGCUCAACCUCGGAACUGCCAUUGAUACUGAAUAUCUGGAAUACGGUUGAAGUGGGCGGAAUGUAGCAUGUAGCGGUGAAAUGCAUAGAGAUGCUACAGAACACCGAUCGCGAAGGCAGCUCACUAAGCCGAUAUUGACGCUCAGGCACGAAAGCGUGGGGAGCGAACAGGAUUAGAUACCCUAGUAGUCC
rnacentral:rRNA from 1 species